AUGUGUUUGCUUGCAUGCUGUGUGCAGUAAACAUCUUAGAUAUACAGAAGGAUGAGCGCGUAGACACUGAUAGCACUCACCUUCUCAAGGCUGGCCAAAAUACAAAUGCUGGAACAGUUAAGUGCCGUUCUAGCUAAAUGGGAUCUUUGACUCAUAGAUAUGUAAAACCUACUUCGGAAACAAAUUUCUCUCAUUAUUUCAGCUUUAUCCCCACAUAUUGUGCAUUAGUGUUACAAGCAAAGGUACCCCAAAGCACACAAUGGCUGCUCAGUAUUUGCUGAUGUUUUUUUUUUUUUAACUAUUUCAAAGAAAUGUCAGCAAUUUACUGGAUCACUUAUAUCAGCCUCCCCACAUUCACAGGCGUGUGCAGAUGUGCACAAACAUCUGCUGAAUUAAUGUUCUGCUUUUGUAUUUCCUUUUUGUCUUUGUUCCUGUUUGAUGUUUCUUUCCUGUUUCUGUUGUGUAGCAUCAUUGAAUCUGGAUGUUUGUUAUCAUAAUUUCAGCCCACAACUUCUGCAGCAGUUUCCCAAGUCAUUUAAAUGCAAUAUGUGGUUGUGUGCUGUUAAUUAAUUA